GACGAACGCUGGCGGCGUGCUUAACACAUGCAAGUCGAACGGAAAGGCCCUGCUUUUGUGGGGUGCUCGAGUGGCGAACGGGUGAGUAACACGUGAGUAACCUGCCCUUGACUUUGGGAUAACUUCAGGAAACUGGGGCUAAUACCGGAUAGGAGCUCCUGCUGCAGGGUGGGGGUUGGAAAGUUUCGGCGGUUGGGGCUGGACUCGCGGCUUAUCAGCUUGUUGGUGGGGUAGUGGCUUACCGAGGCUUUGGCGGGUAGCCGGCCUGGGAGGGUGACCGGCCACAUUGGGCCUGAGAUACGGCCCAGACUCCUACGGGAGGCAGCAGUGGGGAAUAUUGCACAGUGGGCGGAAGCCUGAUGCAGCAACGCCGCGUGCGGGAUGACGGCCUUCGGGUUGUAAACCGCUUUCGCCUGUGACGAAGCGUGAGUGACGGUAAUGGGUAAAGAAGCACCGGCUAACUACGUG
rnacentral:rRNA from 1 species